AAAUUUUUCUACUUUUUCUUUACAGAGUGAAACCAGCUGUUUUUGAUCUUUUCCUUGCAGUUGCAAUUGCAAUAUAUUUAUCCAUUGUUUAUUUCAUCAUAAUGAAUUUUUAUCGAGUAGAAAGUUUCCUCAGACAGCUGGCUAGUCCAGUGAAAUCUAAACAGACUUAAAGCAUGCGGCGCAACAUCACAAUAAUAAAAACAAUUGACAUUAUUCCUACUUAUUUACAAUGUAUAGUAUUAAGAAUUGUGACGUAUUCCAACCGAUUUAACCAUAUUUCCAUAAUGUUGUGAUACUCCAAAUAGAAUUUGGAUGUGUACAAGAUUAAAAAAACAAAUUCCUUCUUCUGUGUCUGAAUCUUAAAGAUUUUCGUACCAAGAAAAAAAAAUGAGAUAUUGAUUAAAUUGUUAGUGAAAACAGGUAAGCCAGACUCUACAGCAAUAACAAAAUAAACCACCUUUUAUUAAUAAU